rfam:Brachypodium distachyon strain Bd21 chromosome 2, whole genome shotgun sequence.
AACAUACUACCUCCGUUCCAUAAUUCUUGUCGAAAUAUUACAUGUAUCUAGACGCUUUUUAGGAAUAGAUACAUCCAUGUUUUGGUAAAUUUGAGACAAGAAUUAUGGAACGGAGGGAGUAUAUU